ACAGCUUUGGACAAAAGUCUAUAGCCAGUGCAUUCGUAACUCCCCAUGCACAAGAGCUGACUGUGGCUCUGGGAAGACAUUUUACUCAUUUGGUUUCUUCUUUCUUAUAGUCUUCUUGUCCUGCUCUCAGGUGUUUACCGCCUAUUAGAAUUUCACCUGUACGGGUACUGUGUUUGAGAAAGUCCCAGGACUUGUCAGCUGGUAUAGGCCUCAUAAAAGACAGCUCU
ensembl:misc_RNA